AGUGAACGCUGGCGGUAGGCCUAACACAUGCAAGUCGAACGGCAGCACAGUAAGAGCUUGCUCUUACGGGUGGCGAGUGGCGGACGGGUGAGGAAUACAUCGGAAUCUACUUUUUCGUGGGGGAUAACGUAGGGAAACUUACGCUAAUACCGCAUACGACCUACGGGUGAAAGCAGGGGAUCUUCGGACCUUGCGCGAUUGAAUGAGCCGAUGUCGGAUUAGCUAGUUGGCGGGGUAAAGGCCCACCAAGGCGACGAUCCGUAGCUGGUCUGAGAGGAUGAUCAGCCACACUGGAACUGAGACACGGUCCAGACUCCUACGGGAGGCAGCAGUGGGGAAUAUUGGACAAUGGGCGCAAGCCUGAUCCAGCCAUACCGCGUGGGUGAACAAGGCCUUCGGGUUGUAAAGCCCUUUUGUUGGGAAAGAAAAGCAGCAGGUUAAUACCCCGCUGUUCUGACGGUACCCAAAGAAUAAGCACCGGCUAACUUCGU
rnacentral:rRNA from 1 species